GCCCUCGUAGCUCAGGGGAUAGAGCACAGCUCUCCUAAAGCUGGUGUCGCACGUUCGAAUCGUGCCGGGGGCACCA
rnacentral:tRNA from 1 species